AACGUAGGAGACAAACGUUAUCCGGAGUUACUGGGCGUAAAGGGCGUGCAGGCGGUCUGUUAAGUUCGGCGUGAAAGCGCCUGGCUAAACCGGGCGAGGUCGUCGGAGACUGGCAGACUAGAGGGUGAUAGAGGCGGGUGGAAUUCCGGGUGUAGUGGUGAAAUGCGUAGAGAUCCGGAGGAACCCCAGAGGCGAAGGCGGCCCCUGGCUCGUACCUGACGCUCAGCCACGAAAGCAUGGGGAGCGAACGGG
rnacentral:rRNA from 1 species